rnacentral:rRNA from 1 species
GUGCCAGCAGCCGCGGUAAUACGGAGGGUGCAAGCGUUAAUCGGAAUUACUGGGCGUAAAGCGCACGCAGGCGGUCAAUUAAGUCAGAUGUGAAAGCCCCGAGCUUAACUUGGGAAUUGCAUCUGAAACUGGUUGGCUAGAGUCUUGUAAGGGGGGUAGAAUUCCAUGUGUAGCGGUGAAAUGCGUAGAGAUGUGGAGGAAUACCGGUGGCCAAGGCGGCCACCUGGAUUAAGACUGACGCUCAGGUGCGAAAGCGUGGAUUUAGAUACCCUGGUAGUCC